GAGGGGGUUGAUUUCUGUUUAAAUAUUUGGCUCACUGUCUCCCUGCUUGGCGGAGCUCACAGAUUCGGGGCAGUGUAGAGGCAGUGAUUGGUGCCCACAGAGUGGGUUACGAUACUGGCACUGAUACAGAAAACAGUACAAA